rnacentral:lncRNA from 1 species
GGCAUUCUUCCUUUACCAGUCCAAAUGCUAUACCGGUUAAACUCCGCCAUUUUGCCUCUUAGUGCUCAUGCUUGAGCCCGCUUGCCCAACUCCUGAGAUGUCAUCGGGAAGCUGCUGAUCAGCAAUUACAGGUGUUUCUGUGUAUUGGGAGACUGCCUUUCCCUGUCAUUGAUCAAUUAUUUUUUUAGAGAGAUACUUAACAACUACCUCACCAUCACUUGAUGGUUGCCUGACAUUCCUGAUUGGUGAGGGAGAGAGGGAGGGAGUCAGGGGGGCUCUCCUGCCCUGUUCCUGUCUGACUAGCUACCUGCUGUAACAAUUAUACUAGUACUAGUGAUAAACCUAUCACUUGUGCCUAUGACAGGGCCUUACACAAGGUAGAUAACCAAUGAUUAUGGUUGAAUUAAUAAACAAGGCCUCUCUUAUGCCCCUAAAAAUGCAGAGAUGCUCUUCUCACCUCUCAUUCGGAAUCUACUCUCAAUUAUAUAUAAGACGAGGAAAUGUUCCAACACAUCUGAGGAAACACAUGCCUUCCCAGACUGGCCUGUUGCUGUUUCCCAGGAGCUGCAUUCUGGAAGGUGGACCAUCAGGUGGAAGAAGUAUUCUUCAGAGAGCUGCCUUCCCAAGGGAAUGGUGACAGCUUGCGCUUGCCGGGGAGUCCUGCUGCCUUCCGAGGUGUGAAGGGAAGGCAUGCACUGUGCAUAUGCUGUACCAUACAGUUUUGCCUACAACUGCUUGUAGCUUCAUUGUAGCUGUGAAUGCUCCGUUCCUCUCCUUUUCACCCCUGAAGAUUCGCGAACAUGCAGGAUUGAGCUGUGCGAGGCAUAGCAUUCCCCACAUGGUAGACGAAGGCGGAUGUGGGUCUGAUGGCUCUACUGCCGUCCACCCGGGAGGAUGGACGUGUGUUCCGGGAUAUCAGAGCUUGCGGCUGACCAGCCCACAUGUCCAUGCAGCCCUCCCGCUGGCUGUGUCGACAUUUUGGGUGUCACUGAAGGAUUUUACUGGUGCAGACUUUACAAAGGCAAAAUUGUUUCUCAAGGAAGUGGACAUGAAAGAUCUAAAAUCAGGGCUGCUUAAAAAAAGCAAGCACAGAUUAAUGACCUAUCUACAUCCUACACGGUUUUAGGACUGCGCCUAGAUGGGCUUAAAGACCCUAGCCUAAAAACUGUAAAUGUGCUUCCGUCUUUGCCCUGUAGGACAAGAAAGCCUUACGGGCUUGCUUCUAACUGUGAGAGGAGGAGAGGCCAGGAAGGGAGAGGGAGAAAAGGAGGAGAACAGGAGACGAGAAGGAGGGGAGAGUGAGGAGAGGAGGAGAGAGGCUUGUCAAAAUCUUUUUAGUGCACAAAACUAAUUUUGUUCAUCUUGGAUUUGGUGAGCUGGGUAAUAUUCUGUGCACGGCUCCUAAAUGAAUUAUUAAAUGUCAACUCAAGAUGGCUUAACUAAAAUACUCAAUUUAAUAACCAAAAGUAUCUAAGGUAACAACAACAAUUUUGCAGGUGAUUGUAGAGUUGUCAAGUCAAACCAUUAUAGACAAGCAUUUGGGGUUUUCACAUAAUCUCCUUCCACAUCUCAUCUUCUGUCACUAAAUACCCACUCUGGUGAGCAUAUUCCAUUUCAAUAAAGAUCAUCGCUUCG